CCCAAGCGGAUAAGACUUCCAGGUCACCAUUCAUGCAGAAAGAAACUCUGCUCUGGGCACAUUACACUCUUUCAUCUUCUUCUCUUGUUUUGUUUAAAUCAAUGUCCACACACACUCAACACUUGCAUUUACAGACUGUGCCAAAGCUUUCUCUGUCACACACACUUUUUUUUUAUGGGGAAGUCCUGCGUCCCUGCUUUACAGGUUCCUGCUCCUCCUCCACCUUCUUCUCCCCUUCAAAAACUCUUGGAGUAAGGUUCAACAUACAGACUGGAAUAGUUAUAGAGAAAAAGGAAGAAGAAAAGAUGCAGAUGCAGAUUAUAUGGAGGAACAUAUGAAGCAUCAGUCUGGAUCUUGAAAGUCAGUUGGUUCAGGACUGGUGGACUGAACGUUACCUGUUGCAUUGGUUGAACCUGAAACCAGCAGUCUGAUCUGCAUAUGUGGCCCAACGGAGGAUGUAAAUAUGAGGGUCAGUGGCUCAUAUAAAAUGGUAUUGCAUGUUACAGAAUCACAGUGCAGGAGGGAUAGAGAUGUAGAUACAGAAAAGCAAAGGGAAAGAAAUCAAACAGGACAAGACAUGAUAGUGAGAUACUAAAAGUGAGAGACGGAAAGAGAAACUAGAUAGCAUCUGUCAGUGAACCUAAAUGUGAUGUGAGUUGUGAAACUAAAGAGUUUGCUCCCAGUCACCAACUGAUACUAACCAAAUAAAACCUCUAACUUUUACA